GAGUUUGAUCCUGGCUCAGGAUGAACGCUAGCUACAGGCUUAACACAUGCAAGUCGAGGGGCAGCAUUUUAGUUUGCUUGCAAACUGAAGAUGGCGACCGGCGCACGGGUGAGUAACACGUAUCCAACCUGCCGAUAACUCCGGGAUAGCCUUUCGAAAGAAAGAUUAAUACCGGAUAGUAUACGAAUAUCGCAUGAUAUUUUUAUUAAAGAAUUUCGGUUAUCGAUGGGGAUGCGUUCCAUUAGUUUGUUGGCGGGGUAACGGCCCACCAAGACUACGAUGGAUAGGGGUUCUGAGAGGAAGGUCCCCCACAUUGGAACUGAGACACGGUCCAAACUCCUACGGGAGGCGGCAGUGGGGAAUAUUGCACAAUGGGGGAAACCCUGAUGCAGCGACGCCGCGUGAAGGAAGAAGUAUCUCGGUAUGUAAAGCUCUAUCAGCAGGGAAGAAAAUGACGGUACCUGACUAAGAAGCCCCGGCUAACUACGUGCCAGCAGCCGCGGUAAUACGUAGGGGGCAAGCGUUAUCCGGAAUUACUGGGUGUAAAGGGUGCGUAGGUGGUAUGGCAAGUCAGAAGUGAAAACCCAGGGCUUAACUCUGGGACUGCUUUUGAAACUGUCAGACUGGAGUGCAGGAGAGGUAAGCGGAAUUCCUAGUGUAGCGGUGAAAUGCGUAGAUAUUAGGAGGAACAUCAGUGGCGAAGGCGGCUUACUGGACUGAAACUGACACUGAGGCACGAAAGCGUGGGGAGCAAACAGGAUUAGAUACCCUGGUAGUCCACGCAGUAAACGAUGAUAACUCGUUGUCGGCGAUACACAGUCGGUGACUAAGCGAAAGCGAUAAGUUAUCCACCUGGGGAGUACGUUCGCAAGAAUGAAACUCAAAGGAAUUGACGGGGGCCCGCACAAGCGGAGGAACAUGUGGUUUAAUUCGAUGAUACGCGAGGAACCUUACCCGGGCUUGAAAGUUAGCGACGAUUCUUGAAAGAGGAUUUCCCUUCGGGGCGCGAAACUAGGUGCUGCAUGGUUGUCGUCGGCUCGUGCCGUGAGAUGUUGGGUUAAGUCCCGCAACGAGCGCAACCCUUAUGGUCAGUUACUACGCAAGAGGACUCUGGCCAGACUGCCGUUGACAAAACGGAGGAAGGUGGGGAUGACGUCAAAUCAUCAUGCCCUUUAUGACUUGGGCUACACACGUACUACAAUGGCGUUAAACAAAGAGAAGCAAGACCGCGAGGUGGAGCAAAACUCAGAAACAACGUCCCAGUUCGGACUGCAGGCUGCAACUCGCCUGCACGAAGUCGGAAUUGCUAGUAAUCGUGGAUCAGCAUGCCACGGUGAAUACGUUCCCGGGCCUUGUACACACCGCCCGUCA
rnacentral:rRNA from 1 species